GAUGAACGCUGGCGGCGUGCCUAAUACGUGCAAGUCGAGCGAACAGAUGAGGAGCUUGCUUCUCUGAUGUUAGCGGCGGACGGGUGAGUAACACGUGGAUAACCUACCUAUAAGACUGGGAUAACUCCGGGAAACCGUAGCUAAUGCCGGAUAACAUUUAGAACCGCAUGGUUCUAAAGUGAAAGAUGGUCUUGCUGUCACUUAUAGAUGGACCCGCGCCGCAUUAGCUAGUUGGUAAGGUAACGGCUUACCAAGGCAACGAUACAUAGCCGACCUGAGAGGGUGAUCGGCCACACUGGAACUGAGACACGGUCCAGACGCCUACGGGAGGCAGCAGUAGGGAAUCUUCCGCAAAGGGCGAAAGCCUGACGGAGCAACGCCGCGUGAGUGAUGAAGGUCUUCGGAUCGUAAAACUCUGUGAUUAGGGAAGAACAUAUGUGUAAGUAACUGUGCACAUCUUGACGGUACCUAAUCAGAAAGCCACGGCUAACUACGUG
rnacentral:rRNA from 1 species